rnacentral:lncRNA from 1 species
AGUAGGGGAAAAUUUUGGUUGCAAAGGGAUCACUAUAUUUGUUCUCACCAUGGAAGUGAAACCAGGACAAGUGGUAAUCCUGUUUUCCUGUUUAUGAAAUAUCUCACUUCCUUAGAUUCUUUUUGAGUUUUAUGGCUAUCUAUAGACGUGGAAAUUGAGCUGAAGCCAAACAGAUCUGGCCUUAUUUCCCAUGGGCCUGUGCACCACCAAUUUGGAUCUGAGAUCAGACAUAACCUUGCCAUAAGCAGCAAAGGGCUUGGUGAACCCUCAAAAAGGCUGUCAAACACCCAGAGGCCUUGGGGAUCAGGAAGGAGCUAUCAUGUGGUCUUUCAUCUAAGAGAGAAUUGUCCUGCCUGAUGGGCUUCAAACCACCAGAACAUCAGUUCUUCCUGGUUCUGCAGUAGUCUCCAACCUUCAGACUCAAACUUCAGCACCUGUUCUUCAGAUUUUGGACUUGCAGCCUCUAUAAUCACAUGAGCCAAUUCCUUAUAUAAAUUUAUUUAUACAUGCUGACAGUUGGUUCUGUUUCUCUGGAUAACCCUGACUGUUAGAGCUGUUACCUCAAAUUUGUUUUCUUAUAUUUGGUGUCUGUUUUGGAGUACUUACAAGUGCUUAAAAUGUUCUUUUUCAAUUAGGUCCUGUAGAACAUAGCUGCGCCUGGAAUUGAAUGAUCGUGUUUUCCGUGCAGAGCUAUCUGCCUUUGGACAGGAGGAGAACUCUCAGCACCAUUCCCUUUCCACGGGAGCUUCUUUUUUCUCAUUCUUUUUCUUGCCUCCCUCAACUCCCAUCCUCUGUUCUGGGAGAAGGUGAAGCUGGCCUGACAGGCCUGAGGGAAGCCGGACGGAGGCACACUUGCCAGCUUUUAGUUGAGGGAGGCACCGCAGCAAGGCUCUCCAGUCCCUCCUUCCCUGGGAGCACCAGCUCUGAUUCUAGUGGGCAGCUGCAGCUAAGACGAAGACAAAUGAAUCCAGAGACUUCUCUCGAGCUAUGAGCCUGAGCCAAAGGCACAGCCCAGCUGUCCAGAGAGCUUUGUGACAGAACAUGGGGGGCCAGCUGACAGGAACCGAGGCACUUUUAAAUUUAGCACUUGUCCUCGCCCUUUCGGUUCACGAUUUCUUGGAAGUUUCAUUUGGAAAAAGAGGUGAGGGACAGAAGUAGAAGUUGGGAAUUCUAGAUCCCUUGAUUCUAGAAUAUUCUAAGAUCUUCCAAACUAACCCUGAUUCCUAAAAACAGAAUAGGACAAUCUUGUUUUCGGUAUUGAGAAUAGCAAAUAUAGAAAUCCCUUAAUUCUUUGACUUAGCUUAGCAGGUGCAAUUAGUUCUAUCCCUAAGCCUUCUUACCAGAAAAUUUUCUAGUGUAAAAUGAUUGGAUGGGAUACCAAUUGGGAUGGGUGUGGUAAUAGUAAAACCAUAUUCUUUAAUAACUUUUUCUUAUUUGUUUUCCUGGAAUUUUGGUUGGCAUUUUUUAAUGAAUUACAUGCUUAUUUUUAAAAAUUAUUAUGAUGGAGAAUUUUUGUUAGGCAGAAUUUCAAAUCUGUCAUCUGCUGUUGACUCUUACUUUCACUACAAAUUUACGAAGGUAGAGAGACCCAGUUCUUACUUAAGUUAUAUCUAACAUAAAAAUACAAUUCUGUCCCAAUCUGUUCAUUUAAAGGGUAAAUUUAUAGCAUCUGUUCAACUUUAUAUGCUAUCUCAAAAUUGUCAACAUUUUAAGCAAGGUGCUACCUAAUUUUAAUGGGUGCACAAGAGGGAAAAGUGGGUCAUUGACUUCAAAGGCGAAACUAUAAGCUAUUAAUGGGCUACGUUGUGCUGAAUUACAAUCUCUUUUCUUGUUUCAAGUUAAAAUUUUUAAGUGGCCACAUGUUUGGCAUUGUAAUUGAUACCACAAUGCUGCUGUUCCUUGACUCAUUCAUUCUCAAAUGUAUAUAUAUAUAUAUUCUUAGUUCACAAAUUUCUAUUUCUUUUACACAAGUUGCUAUUUCUUGUAGUGUUCAUGAACUGGGUAUGCUGUCCUUUGUAAUGAAAGACUACAGACUGCCAUGAAUAGUACCUUGGCUUCUUUUUUUACAGUGUGGAAUGAGAGCAUUUAUUAUUGUUGCAUUAUUGUAUUUUUGAAUAAAAAUCCCUAUUCCCACUGUACCAAA